rnacentral:rRNA from 1 species
CCCCAGCGCCACAAGUGGUUAUCACGAUUAUUGGGCCUAAAGCGUUCGUAGCCGGUUUGGUAAAUCUCUUGUGAAAUUGUUCGGCUUAACCGGACAGCGUGCAGGAGACACUGCCAGACUCGAGACCGGGAGGCGUAAGAAGUAUUCCAUGGGGACUGGUAAAAUGGGACAAUCCAUGGAAGACUACCGAUGGCGAAGGCAUCUUACGAGAACGGAUCUGACGGUGAGGAACGAAAGCCAGGGGAGCGAACCGG